AAUAGGAAUCAAACUGAGCAAAAAAAAUUAAGAAGGUAACAAGCUAAACAUUUUCUGCAGUAUAAUUUAUAAACCAACACCUAUGCCAUAUAGGAGAUAUAGGCAGGCAGUAGUAAGCAUCAUGCCAAGGACCGUAGAAAAAAAUGUAUAUACAUCCUUAAAAAAAAAAUAUUGGAAAAUAUUCUGGUUUAUCCUAAUCCAUCCAAACAAUAGCAUGGCUCCUUACUCACAGACAUUGAUUUUCACACUAAUGAAUGCAAAAAUCAAUGAAUGUAGUGGCAAUUUAUUGAGCACUGCAGAGUCUCUGGGCCGUAUUACAAGUCAAACCCGAGAAGUUUUGGGUCCCUACAAAGGUCGGGAUGAAUAACUCUGUAGGGGACUGUAGGGUGAGUAAACCAGGUGAGUAAACCCCAAACUUCCCAGGUUGGACUUGUAAUAUGGCCCAUCAGCGCCGUUGGUAUGGUUGUGUUAGGUUUGCCAGGGCUGGGUUAAUUCAGGUUAAUAUUAUUGUUAAAUGUUAUGUUUUGUUUCUUAAUUAUUAUGGUUAAAGGGCAUGUUGUUUCUUAUUUAUUAUGGUUAAAGGGCAUGUUUUGUUUCUUAUUUAAUAUGGUUAAAAGGCAUGUUGUUUCUUAUUUAUUAUGGUUAAAGGGCAUGUUGUUUCUUAUUUAUUAUGGUUAAAGGGCAUGUUUUGUUUCUUAUUUAUUAUGGUUUUAGGGCAUGUUUUGUUUCUUAUUUAUUAUGGUUAAAGGGCAUGUUGUUUCUUAUUUAUUAUGGUUAAAGGGCAUGUUUUGUUUCUUAUUUAUUAUGGUUAAAGGGCAUGUUGUUUCUUAUUUAUUAUGGUUAAAGGGCAUGUUGUUUCUUAUUUAUUAUGGUUAAAGGGCAUGUUGUUUCUUAUUUAUUAUGGUUAAAGGGCAUAUUUUGUUUCUUAUUUUUUCCCCCUAUAACCAUAAUGUGAAGGUGUAUGGUAGUUUGAGGUGGUGGAGCUAAACUACACAUCUACCCUAUAACCAUAAUAUGAAGGUAUAUGGUAGUUUGAGGUGGUGGAGCUAAACUACACAUCUACUCUAUAACCAUAAUAUGAAGGUGUAUGGUAGUUGGAGGUGGUGGAGCUAAACUACACAUCUACCCUAUAACCAUAAUGUGAAGGUGUAUGGUAGUUUGAGGUGGUGGAGCUAAACUACACAUCUACCCUAUAACCAUAAUAUGAAGAUGUAUGGUAGUUUGAGGUGGUGGAGCUAAACUACACAUCUACCCUAUAACCAUAAUAUGAAGGUAUAUGGUAGUUUGAGGUGGUGGAGCUAAACUACACAUCUACCAAUGGCACCAGUGGAAAUGUUAGAAUAGCACCAAUAAAACUACAAGAACAGUACCAGUAUAUAGGUAAGCAGAUACGAAGAAGGGAAGGGAUAUUAAGGAAGGAAAAUGGAAAUAUAAAGAAAAAAUGAAGGAAGGAGAAAGCAAAGAACACAAGGAAUGACAAAACGGUGAUGGGAAGGAAGAGAAAAGAAUGCAAAGAAUAAGCAGAAGGAAAAUGGAAAUAUAAAGAAAAAAUGAAGGAAGGAGAAAGCAAAGAACACAAGGAAUGACAAAACGGUGAUAGG